GCUACCCACAAACCCAUGUUCCUCUCCUUCCACCAGCAGCAUCUAAUCACUUUCUCAUGAUCGACCUUAGAAGCUUAUGAGAAGAAAGAAGAUUACUUGUUACAUUGACUAUCAUCUCAAAUCAAACAAAUCAAACACUUCAAUGUGUGAGCCUUGAGUUUAAUUACAGAAAGCUUCAGUGUAGAGAUCUGAUGCUAUUCCUUGAUCAUUAUGAUUUUAAUUUCUUGUCGUCAUCUACAAUCUCCUUUCUUUGGAGGAUUAUUGGUGACAACAUCGUUCUAUUUUUCUAUUUCAACUUCAACUCGAGUGUAAUUUCUUUGAUUAAAAAAGUGAGAAACUCCGAUAUAAUGGGCUGUUCAAAAGGAUGGAUCUAUAAAAACGACAUUCAACGGAUCUGCUGUAUAAGAAAAAUACCUAGAUACCCAUUGGGUUCAAGCCUAAUCAAUUCAAGCCGGUGAAUCAGCUAAACUUUAUUCAAAACACAGCCCUAUCCACCCAAGAUGAGCAGGAAUGAGUCACAGAAAUACAAAGUGCUGCCAAAAGGACAUUCUCCCCUUUGUGUGUUAUCUGGGCAAACAGAAACUGAUGAGAAUGUUGUUGAAGAAUUUUGUAACGAGAUAUAAUAGGUUUAGUACUAAGUUCACCCAUGAGCAAAGGAAGAAGAUGUUGGAUUUUGCAAUAACAUUAGGUUGGAAUAUUAAAAAUAAUGAUGAGAAUGUUGUUGAACAAUUUUGUAACGAGAUAUAAAAGGUUUAGUACUAAGUUCACCCAUGAGCAACGGAAUAAGAUGUUGGAUUUUGCAAUGACAUUAGGUUGGAAGAUUAAAAAUAA